AGUGGGUGAUCCGGUGAUCCUAUGCUGCCAAGAAAAGCAUCGGCGCGAGGUUCUAACUGCCCGUACCCCAAACCGACACAGGUGAUCAGGUAGAGAAUACUAAGGCGAUCGAGAGAAUCAUGGUUAAGGAACUCGGCAAAAUGCCCCCGUAACUUCGGGAGAAGGGGGGCCUGCCUCGUGACCGCCACUUGCUGGCGUGAGCGGGUGUGGGCCGCAGAGACCAGGGGGAAGCGACUGUUUACUAAAAACACAGGUCCAUGCGAAGUCGCAAGACGAUGUAUAUGGACUGACUCCUGCCCGGUGCUGGAAGGUUAAGAGGAGCUGUCAACACUUCGGUGUGAAGCGGUGAAUUUAAGCCCCAGUAAACGGCGGUGGUAACUAUAACCAUCCUAAGGUAGCGAAAUUCCUUGUCGGGUAAGUUCCGACCUGCACGAAUGGAGUAACGACUUCCCCGCUGUCUCAACCAUGAACUCGGCGAAAUUGCAGUACGAGUAAAGAUGCUCGUUACGCGCAGCAGGACGGAAAGACCCCGAGACCUUUACUAUAGUUUGGUAUUGGUGUUCGGUGCGGCUUGUGUAGGAUAGGUGGGAGACUGUGAAGCGGGCACGCUAGUGUUCGUGGAGUCAUCGUUGAAAUACCACUCUGGCCGUACCGGAUUCCUAACUUCGGACCAUGAUCUGGUCCAGGGACAGUGCCUGAUGGGUAGUUUAACUGGGGCGGUUGCCUCCUAAAGAGUAACGGAGGCGCCCAAAGGUUCCCUCAGCCUGGUUGGCAAUCAGGUGUCGAGUGUAAGUGCACAAGGGAGCUUGACUGUGAGAGCGACAGCUCGAGCAGGGACGAAAGUCGGGACUAGUGAUCCGGCGGCACCUCGUGGAAGGGCCGUCGCUCAACGGAUAAAAGGUACCUCGGGGAUAACAGGCUGAUCUUGCCCAAGAGUCCAUAUCGACGGCAUGGUUUGGCACCUCGAUGUCGGCUCGUCGCAUCCUGGGGCUGGAGUCGGUCCCAAGGGUUGGGCUGUUCGCCCAUUAAAGCGGUACGCGAGCUGGGUUUAGAACGUCGUGAGACAGUUCGGUCCCUAUCCGCUGCGCGCGCAGGAAAUUUGAGGAGAUCUGUCCUUAGUACGAGAGGACCGGGACGGACGAACCACUGGUAUGUCAGUUGUACCGCCAGGUGCACCGCUGAUUAGCUACGUUCGGAAGGGAUAACCGCUGAAAGCAUCUAAGCGGGAAGCCCACUUCGAGAUGAGAUUUCCAUACACUUUUGUGUGAGAGGCCCCCAGCUAGACCACUGGGUUGAUAGGCGGGACGUGGAAGCGAGGACUAAAGACUCGUGAAGCCGACCCGUACUAAUAGGCCGACAACUUACACC
rnacentral:rRNA from 1 species